GUAGGUGGCAAGCGUUGUCCGGAAUUAUUGGGCGUAAAGCGCGCGCAGGCGGUUCUUUAAGUCUGAUGUGAAAGCCCACGGCUCAACCGUGGAGGGUCAUUGGAAACUGGAGAUCUUGAGUACAGAAGAGGAAAGCGGAAUUCCACGUGUAGCGGUGAAAUGCGUAGAGAUGUGGAGGAACACCAGUGGCGAAGGCGGCUUUCUGGUCUGUAACUGACGCUGAGGCGCGAAAGCGUGGGGGGAGCAAACAGGAUUAGAUACCCUGGUAGUCCACGCCGUAAACGAUGAGUGCUAAGUGUUAGGGGGUUUCCGCCCCCCCCUUAGUGCUGCAGCUAACGCAUUAAGCACUCCGCCUGGGAGUACGGCCGCAAGGCUG
rnacentral:rRNA from 1 species